UCCACAGAGAAAGCCAGAGGCCAUGUGGCUCUUGUAAGUGCUUUAGAUCACCCCAGCUAAACUAAGUGACUUAUGAUUAAACUAUAGCAACAGAAUGGUGUACUCUUUAGAGAAUAUUGUGCAGUGGAUAAGGUGAGGGGAAGUAGGAACAAGCUAUUGACAUACCUGGCACAAAAUGCCUUAAGUCGUCUGCUCACCUUUUGUCCAGCCAGAACUGAACUAACAUGAGCAUGUGAUGGAACAGAAGUGGAGAUUUCAAGCAGGAGAAUUGUGAGUGCAAGGUGCAGAUGCACUCUGAAUGAGUCCUGAGCCCUCAGCUGCUACCCUGGCUAGGAACUAAAUUUUUGCAGACAGAAUUCCAGACUCUCCGUACUCCUGUAUUACACUACUGGUAAUAAUAAUCUCUGUCCAUCAAGGUGACAAGGAACAAUGUGCUUCAAGGGAUUUGGAGGAUACUUUUGUCAAAAUCUCUGAUCUUUCACUUGGGCCUGCACACAGAAAGUCCAGGGGUGCCACUCUGCUGUCAGAUGGCCAAAGCUCUACUUUCAGAUCAUGUUAACACCAACAUUUUCUGAAUACGUCUCCUGUGAAGAUCCAUGAAGUCUGAUGUUUAUAGGACCACUGAUUGUUCACCUCCAAUGACCGUUCUCCACACCUUAACUAAUCCUUCCUUAAGAAUAUUCCCGAACUCUAUUCGUGGAAGGUGGAUUUGAGACUUGGGUCUCAAAUUUCUCUCUCCCCAUGGCUAUCUUGCAAACACGUACUUCCUCUUUUACAAAACUGUGUUUCAGAGAAUAUGUCACUAUCAUAAUCAUGAGAUGGGUAUAUGGGAUGCCCUGGACAAAAGUCAUUAAUUAUGUAUUAUCACUUGUAAAAUAUUAUUGUACAUAAAUUGUUACUUUAAAAAAUAAGACAAAAAAUAAAUUUGUACUUCA